GUAACGAGCGCAACCCUUGUCCUUAGUUACCAGCACGUUAUGGUGGGCACUCUAAGGAGACUGCCGGUGACAAACCGGAGGAAGGUCGGGGAUGACGUCAAGUCAUCAUGGCCCUUACGGCCUGGGCUACACACGUGCUACAAUGGUCGGUACAAAGGGUUGCCAAGCCGCGAGGUGGAGCUAAUCCCAUAAAACCGAUCGUAGUCCGGAUCGCAGUCUGCAACUCGACUGCGUGAAGUCGGAAUCGCUAGUAAUCGUGAAUCAGAAUGUCACGGUGAAUACGUUCCCGGGCCUU
rnacentral:rRNA from 1 species